rnacentral:rRNA from 1 species
UGACCUCAAAUCAGGUAGGGUUACCCGCUGAACUUAAGCAUAUCAAUAAGCGGAGGAAAAGAAACUAACAAGGAUUCCCCUAGUAACUGCGAGUGAAGCGGGAAAAGCUCAAAUUUAAAAUCUGGCGGUCUUUGGCUGUCCGAGUUGUAGUCUGGAGAAGUGUUUUCCGUGCUGGACCGUGUCAAAUUCUCUCUGGGCAC